rnacentral:rRNA from 1 species
AACGAACGCUGGCGGCGCGCCUAAUACAUGCAAGUCGAGCGAGAAGACGUAGCAAUACGUUUGUAAAGCGGCGAACGGGUGAGGAAUACAUGGGUAACCUACCCUCGAGUGGGGAAUAACUAGCCGAAAGGUUAGCUAAUACCGCGUACGCUCCUUGGACUUCGGUUCAGGGAGGAAAGCGAUACCGUGGGUAUCGCGCUCUUGGAUGGGCUCAUGCCCUAUCAGCUUGUUGGUGAGGUAACGGCUCACCAAGGCUUCGACGGGUAGCUGGUCUGAGAGGACAAUCAGCCACACUGGCACUGCGACACGGGCCAGACUCCUACGGGAGGCAGCAGUAAGGAAUAUUGCGCAAUGGGCGAAAGCCUGACGCAGCGACGCCGCGGUGGGGGA